AUGAUCUGUGGGGAGAAAGGAGAUUCCUUUGGCGUCCCCAGCCCAAAUCAGUCAUUCCUUAUUCACAUUUCAACCAACUUUCACCCACACACCCCGCCCAGGGGCGUAGAGAACUUCGCGGACGAGGCGAGUCGCACAGUGGGCUCCCUCGCUAGCCACAAGUCCCUAAUCCCCCCCCCCCUCCCCCGGCCCAGCGGAGAAGGCGAGUGGGGGAGCCGCGGGACCAGGCGCGGGCACCUACCGUGAUAUUCCUGGCCAGCCCUGACCUAUGUAAUGGAAAGGAAAGAGGGAGCCCCGGCCAAAGGAGUAAGUGUAACAGGGACUAAAUGAGCCGCUGAACAUGAAGCCCUGGCUGCAGGAAUAAUGCAUAAAAACAUACAUUUUUAACAGAGGAUGGGUUGGCAGAAGGACCACAGCAUCAGGAGAUGGGAGCAGACCUGCCAGGCUUUAAUGCAUCUUCCCACCCCACACUUGGAUCCCAACCAAUGCCCAGAUACAGCCACUGUGAGCAUUAGUGACAUGAUGUAAUUGGAAAGAAGAGCGUACCUGCCAGCAUUUUUGAAGUGCAAAAAUGGGACAGUUCAGGGGGUCCCUGCUGGAUUAAUUUCAUUGCCAGAGGGAAAGGUUCCCCCUUCAAGGAAGAACAAGUAGAAUGGAACAUACCUUGCAUCUGCCCUACAUCUUUUGCUCCCCUCAUACAGCCUGCUUCCCUGGCCCACCUCCAUGCAUCUGAUGUAGAUUCUACAUACUAGACCCAAGGGAGAUCAUCACCAUCUGCUGUACCUGGCUGCACUGCCCGCUCUACACCAAACUGAAGCAAACCCACUACUAGCAAAAUUUCGUUACAAUUUUUCAUUUUAUUCAGUCCUAUUCACUUUUACUAUUGUUUUUGACAAGCCUGGAUCAGACCAUGAAAACACUCACUCCCAUGGAGACUCCUCAUAAAGAGAGGGUACAAUUGGUGGCCUUUGAUGAAAGGGAAAAGACAAUCUGAAACCCCAUUCCAACUGGCCUAAUAUUCUGAGCCACUGCCUUGGACACCGAACCUCUUGAUGGUCUCAGAUGAGACUCAAGCUGGCUCUGUAUCUUCCUUUUAAAAUCUAUGUAUUUAUUUUACAUUUGUGAGUCUCUGUGAAUUUCAAUGCUCAUGAAAGUGAUGGGCUAAUAAUAUCUUUUGGUACAGCCAAGCACAGUGGAGGCAAAUGCUCUGCAAGCUCUCUCACAAACCUCUGCCAAUACAAUACAUUCAGAGUCUUACUAUGGAAUACUCACUUUUUCCUAGGAAGAGAUUUCCAACAAUCCCAAACUGUGCCAAAUUAUGCAAGGUGAUUUUAUGAAGUAAACAUUGAAUGAUUUAGGCUCCUUAUCAGCCAUUCCCCAAACAUAUUCACACUUAACUCUUCACCACUGUGGUCAUGGCUGUACAGGCAGGUGGAGAGAAGAGGGAACCUUUGGGCCAUCACUUGCUUCCACUGCAGCAGGAAAAGUGGAGCUCAGCUGCUUCUAUUGGGAUGGUCUUUGAUGAAAGGAUCCUCAUGAGCCAUCUAAUAAAGCCACACAAAACCCCGGCAUCGUUGUGAUAUAUGGUAAAGGAUUGGAGAGAUCAUCACACAGCAUGGCUGCAGUCCAUAUUGACUCGUGAAAACUGAAUUAAACAGCAGCAUCUUUAUUAAUUUGGCUAUGGUAUGUGGUUUUGCAAGGUGCAAUGUAGGCUGUAUAUGUUGAACAUUACUGACCUAUAAAGAAAGAGCCAACAUUAGAACAUAUUGGAUACAGAUAAACGAUUUCAUGGAAUACAGUAGGAGAGAGCUGUUUUGCCAUUUUGAUCAUCUGGAUGAUUCUGAUGCUGAUCCUGUCUCCACAUUCUUUACGGAUAGCACCAAGAUAAAGGAACUGACUAGACUUUUACAUAUGCAGAUGAAAAUCACAGAAAUAUUCUCACCAUAGUAUCCAAGUGUCUUGCAGCAGUGCAUUAAACAACAUGACUACACAUCUGUCUUGUGUUGUUUGGAACUUGUGAUGUCAAAGAUCCAUUCAUUCAUUGUUCCACAGCACUCAAAGUCUUUAAGGAGAAUCAAAAACAAGACAGGAAGUUGAAACACUUCCUAUUUCACCACUGCUGAUAAGGAUUUUAAGAUGGAGACACAGUGUGAAAAGUUAAAAGUAGAAAAUCUUCUUUCCACUGGAUAUUUCUAUUUAAAACUCAGCAAUGCAAACAAACUACAUUCUCUAUGCAUGUAUUCCAUCCAUGACCAGUGCAUAUGCUGCAUCUGUACUUCUUUAAAGGUUUCAUUGAAGAUAAAUCACUGAUGGAUAAGGAAGAAUGGUGUGUUUGAUACAGAUAAAUGGUUUCAUGAGAAACCAUCUUUGUACCUGAUACAAUGGCAAAAUUGCUCAUGAACACUUCAUCCUUGAAAAAAUAUUACCACAUUAUUAGAGGCAGUUUUACCCCUGGGCUUAACAUGAGCUGUAGCUCAGGCAUGUUAUUAAGCUCAGACAGUAGGGAUGGUUUUUAACUGCACACCAGUCGAUGGACUAGAUAUUGCGAUACAAGGUAUUCAGGAAAUAAUUCCAUUGUAACUACAGGACACAGUCAUAUCAAGUCACUCAGAAUAUAUUUUCCAGCCCACUCAUUCUUACCUCAGCAAUAUAGCUGAGAAAAUAUGAAAAACGGAGAGCCCCACACUGCAGAAUACAAAUUAGGGACAAUCAAGACAGUUCUGUUCCAGGUAGUCAAGUUCUUCUCCAGCUACCCCCUACUUACGGGGUCAAAUCAUGAUCCCAUUAAUUGAGGUCAAUGCGAAUUCUGUUGCUGUCUAAAACAAGAUCAAAAUUUGUUCCUUUCUGCUGUAAAGUUCAGCUGAGGCGUCUAUCAUAUGAGUGCUGUCUGUGCACAUCAGGAAUAGUUAGUAGCUAGUCAAUCUUGCCUUCCCUUUCAAAACAAAGUAUUUUGUUUAUUAAUUCUUCUAUUCUCUGUCCCUAUUUAUGCAACAACUGCCUCAGUUACUUACCAGAAAGGGCUGGGGCAUCUUUGCCAUGCCAAAUAAUCCUUCUGGAUGAAUUCCCUUUUUGUGCACGGUACUUGUCAUGGUCAUACAGCAAUGCAAUUUUUUCUUGCCAGUUACAUGAACUUUGAUCUUAAGUGGGGCGCAAGUCAUUUCUAAACAAAGCCUUAAAAGUGAAACUGUAGGCAACUUCCAUGCCUAAGUUAUUACGAGAUUUUAAUUUUUCUGUGAUGGGAACAAUGGGAAUUGUUUGGCUGCUUCAUUUUCCAGUGGAGUGGUAUAAUAUGUAUUUUGUUUUCUGGCAGCUCUGAAUCUCACCAUUUCAUCUGAAAAUAUAACAUUUACCAUCAUAUGUUCUCCUUCUCUCUCCCUUACAUUGCAUUUCCAUCAAAUUAUUUUAAAUUAACAUUUAUUAUUGCUAAUUGUUAACAUUAAUGAAUUCUGAAUAGAAAAAAUAAUAUUGAUAAAGUCUCUCUUUUAACAACAACCUGGCACAUCUUCCUAAUGUGACAAACUCUGUUAAUGUUACAAAAUUGGUCAGUUUGGAGCCCACUUCCAUACAUUUGUCACUGAUCUUGUAGCCAUUUACAAAAAAAGAUUUUAAAAAUGCCUUCAAAUCAGCAAAAUAACAUCAGCAACAUUCCUCUAUGUGAUUUAAUAAUGGAAAUGUUAGGCAUUACAAUUUUAAUAUGCAUGAAACCUUUAUGUUUUGUCAUAUUGUUUUGAAUGCUGCUUUUUUCUACUAUAUACUGUUCAGUAUUCAAAUCUACUACAAGCAACCUCUGUUUAGUUUAAAAAACAAACCAAUGGUACCUUGUGUGAUUCUGACCUUAAAACUUAUUUUAAACUUUCUGACUAUUUCUCGUAUAUGAAGAUGUGCACAUCAGACAGACACACAACAAUUCUUAAAAAUAGGGUCUGAGUUCUCUGUAGUUUUAGUUACUUCAGAGAACUCAUGGAUUUUGUUUCCUUCAGUGCAUGGUCUGGAGAUUAUGUAUAGGCAUAAGAAUAGAAUCUUCUCUGUUUCUGAUCCAGUGCAUUGAUGCUCCCUAUGAAUAUAGCACAAAGAGUGUAUUUCAAUAUAUUUAAAUGGAUGCUGGUAAUUUAAAAUCUCUUGAUCAAUUUUUUAUUUUGAAAAUUUUAUUUUUGGUGUAAUUUGAUUAAUUGUGUUUUUAGGAAACAUUUGCCUGUACAAACAUUGAUGUCCAAUAAUGUUGUUUCCUACUGUAUAUUUGCAACUUUGGAUUUCUGAAAAAAAAAAAAGCUAGAUGUUUACAUGUGUAAUACCUGCCUGCUGAGGCUUCCACGGUUUUUAUUAACUUGCAAAUAUUUAUCCUCGGUAGCCUUUAUCUGAAGAAUUUUUUAAAUGUCAGUGGCCACAAAAGAAACCCUUAGACCAUUUUACAACCUAAAUUAUCUCUCCACUUUACUAUUCCCACUAAAAUAACCUCAAGGACCUAAAGUACACAUGACUAACAGCCUAUGACAAUUUUGACUGUUUACCUUUUCAAGGAAGCUAGAAUUCAAAUCCUGAGGAAGUCUGUAAAAGAUGUUCCUUCUGUUCCAUCUAAAGAUUGUUAAUCCUGCAGAGCACCAGAAUUCAUAUA